AACGAACGCUAGCGGCAUGCCUCAAACAUGCAAGUCGCACGAGAAAGGGGCUUCGGCUCCAAGUAAAGUGGCGGACGGGUGAGUAACACGUAACUAACGUACCUCCUCGCUGGGGAUAACUCCGGGAAACCGGAGCUAAUACCGAAUAAUCUGAUACGGUCCACGGGCUGUAUCGGUAAAGCCUUACGGCGCGAAGAGAUCGGGUUGCGUUCUACUAGCUAGUUGGUGGGGUAACGGCCUACCAAGGCGACGANAGAUAGCUGGUCUGAGAGGACGAUCAGCCACACUGGAACUGAAACACGGUCCAGACUCCCACGGGAGGCAGCAGUUGGGAAUAUUGGACAAUGGGGGAAACCCUGAUCCAGCAAUGCCGCGUGAGUGAUGAAGGCCUUC
rnacentral:rRNA from 1 species